rnacentral:rRNA from 1 species
GAUGAACGCUGGCGGCGUGCCUAAUACAUGCAAGUCGAGCGAACAGACGAGGAGCUUGCUCCUCUGACGUUAGCGGCGGACGGGUGAGUAACACGUGGAUAACCUACCUAUAAGACUGGGAUAAUUUCGGGAAACCGGAGCUAAUACCGGAUAAUAUAUUGAACCGCAUGGUUCAAUAGUGAAAGACGGUUUCGCUGUCACUUAUAGAUGGAUCCGCGCCGCAUUAGCUAGUUGGUAAGGUAACGGCUUACCAAGGCAACGAUGCGUAGCCGACCUGAGAGGGUGAUCGGCCACACUGGAACUGAGACACGGUCCAGACUCCUACGGGAGGCAGCAGUAGGGAAUCUUCCGCAAUGGGCGAAAGCCUGACGGAGCAACGCCGCGUGAGUGAUGAAGGUCUUCGGAUCGUAAAACUCUGUUAUUAGGGAAGAACAAAUGUGUAAGUAACUAUGCACGUCUUGACGGUACCUAAUCAGAAAGCCACGGCUAACUACGUG